AUUGAACGCUGGCGGCAGGCCUAACACAUGCAAGUCGAGCGGAGCGGCGGACGGGGGAGUAAUGGCUAGGUAUCUGCCUGGUAGUGGGGGAGAAGGUCCGGAAAUGGGCGCUAAUACCGCAUACUAUCAGAUGAGCCUAGGGGGGAUUAGCUAGUUGGUGGGGUAAAGGCCUACCAAGGCGAAGAUCCGUAACUGGUCUGAGAGGAUGAUCAGUCACACUGGAACUGAGACACGGUCCAGACUCCUACGGGAGGCAGCAGUGGGGAAUAUUGGACAAUGGGCGAAAGCCUGAUCCAGCCAUGCCGCGUGUGUGAAGAAGGUCUUCGGAUUGUAAAGCACUUUAAGUUGGGAGGCGUUACCAACAGAAUAAGCACCGGCUAACUUCGUGCCAGCAGCCGCGGUAAUAC
rnacentral:rRNA from 1 species